GGAGUUGUGGCUCAGCGGUAGAGUGCUCACGCAUUCGAGGCCCUGGGUUCGAUCCUCAGCACCA
rnacentral:tRNA from 1 species